ensembl:lncRNA
GCGGAGGAGGGGCGCCAGGGCGGCGCGGGCCCGGGGCCACCUGCUGGCCGAGCCGCUGCUCCCCGGGGCGCCGCUUCCGCCUGGCCGAGCGCGGCGCCCCGAGGAGGCGGGAGGCCGCGGCGCAGCGCCCUGGGCCGGGCCCGCCGCGGGGCCUGGGCUCGCGGACCCUUGGUCGCCGCCCGCCCCGGAGCUGGAGCCGCCGCGGCCGCGGCUGCGGGCCGGGAACUUACCCUUUGCCGUCUGCGAGGCCGGCGGAGGUGGAGCGCGGGCUCGGUUCCGGCGGACUCGGUCCGAGGGGAGUUGGGGUGCGGGGGCUGUGCCCCAGGUCGAACGCCGGUGCUCGACGGACGCGGGGCGGGGGCGGGUUUGUGUCCCGCGCCUCCUGGGGGCAGCGCCGACCGCGGGCGCCCCGGAGCGGAACGGAAAGGAAUUCGGCCCGGGGAGAGCGUGCUGAACGCGGCGACACGCCGGACCGAAAGCCCCGGCGGGCGUGCGGAGGGCACGGACGGCCCGGCCCUACGGCCCCCGGCUCGGGGAGACCGGCCACUCCGCGUGGCCCUCACCCCGGAAGCAAAACUGGACCAGGGUGAGAGGCAGUCGUGGCGGCGGUGUGGGCAGUGGGCGCGCCUGGCCUGCGGGCGAGAGCGGGGAGGUCACUCGGUGGAGCAGCCUUGAAUUUGGGGCCACUGUCUUUGAGGUUGUUAGCCGGCAGGGUCCCUUCCCCAGAAAGCGUGCGUGGGACAAAUGAAAUUGUACCUGUAAGAGGUGACAGAGGCAUUAAAGUGGUAACAGUGAGUAAAGCAACUACCCAGUUU